rnacentral:rRNA from 1 species
GAUGAACGCUAGCGGCAGGCUUAACACAUGCAAGUCGAGGGGUAUUUAUCUUCGGAUAGAGAGACCGGCGCACGGGUGCGUAACGCGUAUGCAAUCUACCUUUUACAGAGGGAUAGCCCAGAGAAAUUUGGAUUAAUACCUCAUAGUAUAUAGACUCGGCAUCGAGAUUAUAUUAAAGUCACAACGGUAAAAGAUGAGCAUGCGUCCCAUUAGCUAGUUGGUAAGGUAACGGCUUACCAAGGCUACGAUGGGUAGGGGUCCUGAGAGGGAGAUCCCCCACACUGGUACUGAGACACGGACCAGACUCCUACGGGAGGCAGCAGUGAGGAAUAUUGGACAAUGGGCGCAAGCCUGAUCCAGCCAUGCCGCGUGCAGGAUGACGGUCCUAUGGAUUGUAAACUGCUUUUAUACGAGAAGAAACACUGCUACGUGUAGCAGCUUGACGGUAUCGUAAGAAUAAGGAUCGGCUAACUCCGU